rnacentral:lncRNA from 1 species
CCACAGGACCGAGACUUUGUAGCCAAGCAGAAGGAAGACCUGGAGCUGGCCAUGAAGAAGCUCACGGCAGAAAACAGGCGUGAGAUCUGUGACAAGGAACGUGAUUGCCUUAACAAGAAGCAGGAGCUCCUCCGAGACCGAGAGGCAGCCCUGUGGGAGAUGGAGGAGCACCAGUUACAGGAGAGACAUCAGCUGGUGAAGCAGCAGCUUAAGGACCAGUACUUCCUGCAGCGGCAUGACCUGCUGCGCAAGCACGAGAAGGAGCGGGAGCAGAUGCAGCGCUACAACCAGCGUAUGAUGGAGCAGCUGAAGGUCAGACAGCAGCAGGAGAAGGCGCGGCUACCCAAGAUCCAGAGGAGUGACGGCAAGACCCGCAUGGCCAUGUACAAGAAGAGCCUGCACAUCAAUGGUGCGGGCAGUGCCUCCGAGCAGCGGGAGAAGGUCAAGCAGUUCUCCCAGCAGGAAGAGAAGAGGCAGAAGGCGGAGAGGCUGCAGCAGCAGCAGAAACACGAGAACCAGAUGCGAGACAUGGUGGCACAGUGCGAGAGCAACAUGAACGAGCUGCAGCAGCUGCAGAAUGAAAAGUGUCAUCUGUUAGUGGAGCAUGAAACCCAGAAGCUGAAGGCCCUGGACGAGAGCCAUAACCAGAGCCUGAAGGAAUGGCGAGACAAGCUUCGGCCACGCAAAAAGGCCCUGGAAGAGGAUUUGAACCAGAAGAAGCGGGAACAGGAAAUGUUCUUCAGACUAAGUGAGGAGGCAGAGACCAGACCCACCACACCCAACAGAGCCAGCAAGUUCUUCCCCUACAGCUCUGGGGAUGCUUCCUAACACACACAUGCCUGGGCUGCGGUGCGGCAGUACAGCCACCAGGGCCACCAACCCUCUACAAACAAGUGACUCAGGACCUCUUCCUCUUGCUUCUGUGCCAGCUCCAACUACCCAGCACCCCAGUUGCCCACAGCACCACCCCAGUGCUUCUGAUGGAUGACCUCAUCCCAACUCAGAUUCCCAUCACCUGGAAGUGACCUGGGCUGUUGGGGUCCGGGACCGAGCGGGAUGGGCGUACCCCUCCUGUUUGCCAAAACACCAGCUCUACUGUCUGUGGGCACAAGCGCUACUGAUGACAUCACCACGAACCCAUCCUUAUUGUGAUCCUUGUGGUUUUUUCUUCUCCUUCAGUAAUUCCUCACAGUGUU